GAAAGGAAAACAAUCAGGACAUCAGAAACUGCACCACUCCAGCGACCAGAGGAAACAACUCUAGUCCACCUCAUAGAGUCAAAUACUGAAAUGGAAUCAGAGUCAGUUGGCACAAGAGGAAGAACGACACUAGAGAGAGCAGACGAAUCCGCUGUAGUGCACCUCAAAGAGUCUGCUUACUUCUGCGCCCUCUAGUGGGACACUGAGGUAUUGCAAAUAAGGAUUGAAACGCUGCAGUAAGAGAUUUCUGAGAAACACUGUUGAUAUUUGAUAUCAAACCAAAUACAUCCUUCCCUUCAUCGCUCUGUUGAACACACAAUGCAAGACUGGAUGUCUCUUGAUCCUAAUUGAAAUGAAGCAAAAUAAUGCUUCAUAAAAAAAUAAACUGAAGAUUAUGAAUGAAUGAAGUUUUUUUUGUGCACACAGUGUACAGUGCAGCAUGAUUUAAAAUACACCAUAU